rnacentral:rRNA from 1 species
GUCUUUGACAUCGACAUCCUUGAACGCAUAUUGGCGGCUAUAGGCUUGCCUAUAGCCACGUCUGUCUGAGCGUCGGCUUAUAAACUAUCACUGCGCGUAGUAAGCAGUGGCUUGGGAGAGUGUC